AACGGAAAAGGGUUUUUCAAAAUCAAGCCUCUAAUUUUACUCCUCUUUGACUUUUAUUAUUUUUAAAGAGAAUUUUUUUUUUUUUUUUUUUUAAUUUCUCUAUAAAUUCAUUUGAUUUGCUACAUCUCAGAGCGUCUCUCAAGAGUGUCUGAGAAGCUCUCCGUUUACGAAUCUCACUCCUUUCUCUUUCUUCCCGCUCCUUUCUCUCUCUACUCUACUGGCUAUAACUUCCUCACUUCUAAAUUCAAAGGUACGUCUUACAAUUUACAUUUUUGUUUAUUUAUUUUUGGUUUUGUUCGAAUUCGAUUUCUUUGAAUCUUUUGUUAUAUAAAUUUUGUUUGAGUUAUCGUAUUUAAUUAUUGGAUCUGUUGCUGGAAAUCCCUCUUGCCAUAUCUUAACUGCAUAUUAUAUGUAUGUUGUGCCUUUUCACAAUUGAUUCAGUUCCUUUCUUCCAAGUACUGUAAGAGGUGGUUGUUUUACGUUUUGGUCCUCUCAAUUCUUCUCUAGAACCAAAAUCAAGGGCUAGGGUUAGGGUUAGGGUUAGGGCUAGGGCUGGGGCUGUGUCUUUGUUGACUUGAUUUUAGGGGUGCAUUGGAAUGCAUUGUGAAUUGCUGUUAUUUGUUUAUGUGAUGGAGUCCUUUGUAAAUCAAUAAAGGUCCUUGGUGUUAUGUUUAUAAAUGGUGAUAGCUCUCUGUUUAUAGAGGUUGGAGGAAUAGCCCCACUUUGCUUAUUUUUUGGUGCAUUAGGAGGGAUGUAACAACCCAAUCUUUAUCGAGGAAGAGACAUCAGAUCCCUGAUUUGUUUAUUUUGGUGCAUUAGGAGGGAUGUAACAACCUAACCUCUUAUGAGGAAGAGACAUCAGAUCAAAGACUUCGU
rnacentral:lncRNA from 1 species